rnacentral:rRNA from 1 species
GUGGGGAAUCUUAGACAAUGGGGGAAACCCUGAUCUAGCCAUGCCGCGUGAGCGAUGAAGGCCUUAGGGUUGUAAAGCUCUUUCAGCUGGGAAGAUAAUGACGGUACCAGCAGAAGAAGCCCCGGCUAACUCCGUGCCAGCAGCCGCGGUAAUACGGAGGGGGCUAGCGUUGUUCGGAAUUACUGGGCGUAAAGCGCGCGUAGGCGGACCAGAAAGUUGGAGGUGAAAUCCCAGGGCUCAACCUUGGAACUGCCUUCAAAACUCCGGUCUGGAGUUCGAGAGAGGUGAGUGGAAUUCCGAGUGUAGAGGUGAAAUUCGUAGAUAUUCGGAGGAACACCAGUGGCGAAGGCGGCUCACUGGCUCGAUACUGACGCUGAGGUGCGAAAGCGUGGGGAGCAAACAGGAUUAGAAACCCGUGUAGUCC